rnacentral:piRNA from 1 species
AAAGUUAAGCUCAGGUACAAGAACACAAAC